rnacentral:rRNA from 1 species
CGCUGGCGGCGUGCUUAACACAUGCAAGUCGAACGCGAACGGGGCUUCGGCCCCAAGUAGAGUGGCGCACGGGUGAGUAACGCGUGGACAAUCUGCCCUUAUGACUGGAAUAACAGUUGGAAACGGCUGCUAAUACCGGAUACGCUCAGGAAGAACUUUUUUGAGGAAAGGCGGCCUCUGCUUGCAAGCUGUCGCAUAAGGAUGAGUCCGCGUCCCAUUAGCUAGUUGGCGGGUAACGGCCCACCAAGGCAACGAUGGGUAGCCGAUUUGAGAGGAUGAUCGGCCACACUGGGACUGAAACACGGCCCAGACUCCUACGGGAGGCAGCAGUGGGGAAUAUUGCGCAAUGGGCGAAAGCCUGACGCAGCGACGCCGCGUGAGGGAUGAAAAGGUUUUCGGAUCGUAAACCUCUGUCAGAAGGGAAGAAACUGCCGUGCUCUAAUCAUCAUGGCAUUGACGGUACCUUCAAAGGAAGCACCGGCUAACUCCGUGCCAGCCGCCGC